UCCCCACUUUGAGCCUGAAACCUUUUUUUGGACAACCACAUCUUAGCCACUACCCCAUUUAGUGCUUACAUGCACUAUCCCUCUCUUGGCCCAACCUUCUUAAGUGCACCAAAAAUGUGCAAAUUAUAAGAUAAGAUCCAUGUUUGAAGUUGCCAAAGGCAAAAGAUACAAAGUCUCCCAAAGUUGAGAAAGCAAAAAAAAAAACGACUUCUAGAAAAAAAAAAGAAAAAAAAAGAAGGUGGAAAGAAAUAAAGAAAGACAAAAAGGAAAAAAACUCCAACAAAAGAGGAGAAAACUUCAAAACAAAGGGAUGAAAAAGGAAAAGCUCCAACAAAUAAGAAUUCAAAAGAAGUUGAAAAAAAAAACAGGGGACAAUAAAGAGGAUCUGAUGCCAAAGGUGUAUCAAUCAUCAAAAACACAAAUUCACUGGACACUCAAGAAGGAAUGAAGUCACUCUUAUCCCAAAUAUACAUCCUACUCGUCCUUAAGCC
rnacentral:lncRNA from 1 species